rnacentral:sRNA from 1 species
GAGACAAAAUUGACUUUUGUGAGACAAAAUUGACUUUUGUGAGACAAAAUUGACAAAAUUGAAUUUUGUCUCACAAAAUUGAGUUUUGUCUCACAAAAGUA